rnacentral:rRNA from 1 species
CCCUUCGUAUACUAUAAUGCAGUCGAGCGGAUCGAUGGGAGCUUGCUCCCUGAGAUCAGCGGCGGACGGGUGAGUAACACGUGGGUAACCUGCCUGUAAGACUGGGAUAACUCCGGGAAACCGGGGCUAAUACCGGAUAAUUUAGUUCCUCGCAUGAGGAACUGUUGAAAGGUGGCUUCUGCUACCACUUACCGAUGGACCCGCGGCGCAUUAACUAAUUGGUGAGGUAACGGCUCACCCAGGGAACCAUGCGUAACCCAACUGGAAGGGUGAUCGGGCACACUGGGACUGAAACACGGGCCAAAAUCCUACGGGAGGGAGCAGUAAGGAAUCCUCCGCAAUGGACGAAAGUCUGACGGAACAACGCCCCGUGAGUGAAGAAAGGUUUCCGAUCCUAAAACUCUGGUGGUAGGGAAGAACCAGUGGCGGUCGAAUAAGGCGGCCCCCUGACGGUACCUAACCAGAAAGCCACGGCUAACUACCUGGCAACAGCCGCGGUAAUACCUAAGUGGCAAGCGUUGUCCGGGAUUAUUGGGCGUAAAGCGCGCGCAAGUGGUUUCCUAAGUCUGGAGUGAAAGCCCACGGCUCAACCGUGGAAGGUCAUUGGAAACUGGGGAACCUGAGUGGCGAAGAGGGAAGUGGAAUUUCCAGUUGUAGCGGUGGAAUGCCUAGAUUAUUGGAAGAACACCCAGUGGCCGAAGCCGACUUCUGGUCCUGUACUGACACAUGAAGCGCCGAAAGCGUUGGGGAGGCAAACAAGGAUUAGAUACCCUGGGUAGUCCACGCCGUAAACGAUGAGAUGCUUAGUGGUAGAAGGGUUUCCGCCCUUUAGUGCUGCAGCUAACGCCAUUAAGCACUCCGCCUGGGGGAGUAACGGUCGCAAGGACUGAAACUCAAAGGAAUGACCGGGGGCCCGCACAAAGCCGGUGGGAGCCAUGUGGUUUAAAUUCGAAGCAACGCCGAAGAACCUUAACCAAGGUCUUGACAUCCUCCUGACAACCCUAAGAGAUAAGGGCUUUCCCCUUCCGGGGGACAGAGUGACAAGGUGGGUGCAUGGCUGGUCGUCAGCUCCGGGUCGUGAGAAUGGUUGGGUUAAAGUUCCCGCAAACGAAGCGCAAACCGUUGAUCCUUAAGUUGCCAACCAAUUCAAGUUGGGCACACUCUUAAAAAUGAAAUGGCCGGGUGACACAAAACCCGGAAAGAAAAGGGUGUGGGGG